CCACCUUCUGAUCUCUGCUGCUUCCGAAUCCACGUGGAAUUGACGGGAAGGACGCAGGUGGAGUCCAAGCCACGCUGCGCCACAAGAAUAGCAACAGAAGACACUGGCAGCAGUCCAGCGGUACACAACAGCAACAGCAAUAACAGUAACAACAACUAGAACAACAACAACAACAACUACUACUACUACUACUACUACUACUACUACUACUACUACUACUACUACUAUUACUACUACUACUACUACUACUACUACUACUACUACUACUACUACUACUACUAAUAAUAAUAAUAAUAAUAAUAAUAAUAAUAAUAAUAAUAAUAAUAAUAAUAAUGAUAAUAAUAAAAAUAACUGUUACGCCAACCGGAUGAAAGAAGCUAUUGUUGUUCAAGCGAGUUUGUCAAUGAGGAAAGAAAGGACCUGGAGGUCAGGGCGAGGAACAAUACGAGGCCUAAGUCAGCGAAUUCCCUGUACGGUCGGUGUUGAGGUAGUGUUGAUGUAAGGAGAUGAAGGAUGCUUGUUAUGGCAUUGAGGCUAAGAUGAGGCCGGCCUUAUCACCGUCGCUAAUGAAUAACGAUGGACAGAGUAGGAACCCAGGCAAUAACUGAGGACGAUAGGGACACUUUGCUGAGGACACUCGUGCAGGGAGGACGUGUGUCGGUGCAGAGACAGAAGUAGAAAGACCUACCUGGAGCACCCGUCAGAAAGGGCGUGCGCGUUACUUAACGAUUACCUGAAGACCCAAACACAAUGUCUGCCGACAUGAAAACGAUGCAGGAGAUGAUGGCGGGCAGGUAAUCCUUCUGUGGCAGACCCUGGGAGUAGAUGUCAACAAGCGCGCCUGAGACGAUGGCCAUCACGCCCAUACCGAUUGUGCCCCACAGCCGCUGCCGUCCAUACAGAUGCCGCUCAGAACCUGCCGCCAAGAGAGUGAAGGAUUCGUCAAGGUGUGGCGUCAGGUGGCAGGAUGAGGGCGAAGACGAUGAGCCAGAACUGCGGGUAGCGUAGAAGGGAGGCCACACCCUCGCUCUCCUCUGGAAUCCCCGAUGUACCCUCACUGGGCAGUGGGGCGAGGUGUGCCGUCUGGCCCUCUCCAACUGUCAUC